rnacentral:rRNA from 1 species
AGUGAACGCUGGCGGUAGGCCUAACACAUGCAAGUCGAACGGCAGCACAGUAAGAGCUUGCUCUUACGGGUGGCGAGUGGCGGACGGGUGAGGAAUACAUCGGAAUCUACUUUUUCGUGGGGGAUAACGUAGGGAAACUUACGCUAAUACCGCAUACGACCUACGGGUGAAAGCAGGGGAUCUUCGGACCUUGCGCGAGUGAAUGAGCCGAUGUCGGAUUAGCUAGUUGGCGGGGUAAAGGCCCACCAAGGCGACGAUCCGUAGCUGGUCUGAGAGGAUGAUCAGCCACACUGGAACUGAGACACGGUCCAGACUCCUACGGGAGGCAGCAGUGGGGAAUAUUGGACAAUGGGCGGAAGCCUGAUCCAGCCAUACAGCGUGGGUGAAGAAGGCCUUCGGGUUGUAAAGCCCUUUUGUUGGGAAAGAAAAGCAGCAGGUUAAUCCCCCGCUGUUCUGACGGUACCCAAAGAAUAAGCACCGGCUAACUUCGUG